rnacentral:rRNA from 1 species
UACGUAGGGUGCGAGCGUUGUCCGGAAUUAUUGGGCGUAAAGAGCUCGUAGGUGGCGGGUCACGUCGGGUGUGAAAGCCCGGGGCUUAACUCCGGGUCUGCAUUCGAUACGGGUCUGCUGGGGUCCGGCAGGGGAGACUGGAAUUCCUGGUGUAGCGGUGAAAUGCGCAGAUAUCAGGAAGAACACCCGUGGCUAAGGCGGCUCUCUAGUACGGUACUGACGCUGAGACGCGAAAGCGUGGGGAGCGAACAGG